GUUGUUGAUGUUGAUUUUGUUAGAGAUGAUGCACCGAUCAGUGAGAUUACAGAUUCAGGUAUUCAUCUAUAACUAUGUGUUCAUAAUUUUUAUACGAUUUGUAAUGCAAACUGUGUGAUUGUUUAAAUCUGUUUGCCCUGUUUCUCAUAAUACACAUGAGCUGUGCAUUUUCAAUCUAUUAUAUUCCAGAUUUUCAUAUUCAUGUUCUUAAAUAUUUUCGUUUUGCAAGUUUAGUUAGAUAUUUAAAAAAAAGAACCCCAAAAGAAUCUGAUACUUUUAGUUGCAACAAGUUGAUGCAAUUACAAGUCGGAAGGAUGGGCAGAAAGGCGAAGCUGAUGCUUGAUAUACUUUGGGUUAAAUCUCUUGAAGCUCAUGUUUAACGUCCAAAACUGAAUCAUUUUUAUUGAAAGGAUGACAAGAAGGGUGGAUAAACUACUAAAGACAUGAGGCUCUUUGUCUCUUACCUGGUUUUGGAGAAGUUGUAUAAAGCUAUAUGGGGUUUAGAGGGUGGAGUGGGUAGCAUUAUCAUGUCUCCAACGCGGGAGUUAGCCGACCAGCUUGGAAACUUCGUGGAUUUAGUGUAGGUCUUGUGUAUCGUUCUGCAACUCAAAAGACCGUUGAUGGUCCAUCACGAAGGGCUGCCAAGUGGGUGGCAAUCAGGAUUCCGGAAAAGAAACGUCGGAACUGAGGAUUGAGGAAGAACAGAAACGUCGGAACUGGCCCAGUUGCACAACCGAUCGGCGAUCAUCAUUCAUCAUCAGCAGACAGCAGGCCUUCGAUUUCAUCAUUUCAGUCACAACAAGCAGGUCAGCAGUAGUGCAGUACGCACGGCCUUCGUUUUAUCGUUUAUGUUGUCGAUUGUCGAACAUAUGGAAUUCAUUUAUUCGGUUAUAUGUCGAAUUC